AGGACGAACGCUGGCGGCGUGCUUAACACAUGCAAGUGGAGCGACGAACCAGGGCUUGCCCUGGGGCAGAGCCGCGAACGGGUGAGUAACACGUGGGUUACCUGCCUCGAUGACCGGGACAACCCGAGGAAACUCGGGCUAAUACCGGAUGUGCCCGCAAGGGGAAAGGAAGCUUCGGCCUCCGCAUUGAGAUGGGCCCGCGGCCCAUUAGCUUGUUGGUGGGGUAACGGCUCACCAAGGCUUCGAUGGGUAGCCGGCCUGAGAGGGGCGCGACGGACCGACGACCUGGAACUGAAACACGGUCCAGACUCCUACGGGAGGCAGCAGUGGGGAAUUUUGCGCAAUGGGGGAAACCCUGACGCAGCAACGCCGCGUGGAGGAUGAAGCCCCUUGGGGUGUAAACUCCUUUCGAUCGGGACGAUUAUGACGGUACCGGAUGAAGAAGCACCGGCUAACUCUGUGCCAGCAGCCGC
rnacentral:rRNA from 1 species